GACGAACGCUGGCGGCGUGCUUAACACAUGCAAGUCGAACGGAAAGGCCCUGCUUUUGUGGGGUGCUCGAGUGGCGAACGGGUGAGUAACACGUGAGUAACCUGCCCUUGACUUUGGGAUAACUUCAGGAAACUGGGGCUAAUACCGGAUAGGAGCUCCUGCUGCAUGGUGGGGGUUGGAAAGUUUCGGCGGUUGGGGAUGGACUCGCGGCUUAUCAGCUUGUUGGUGGGGUAGUGGCUUACCAAGGCUUUGACGGGUAGCCGGCCUGAGAGGGUGACCGGCCAAAUUGGGACUGAGAUACGGCCCAGACUCCUACGGGAGGCAGCAGUGGGGAAUAUUGCACAAUGGGCGGAAGCCAGAUGCAGCAACGCCGCGUGCGGGAUGACGGCCUUCGGGUUGUAAACCGCUUUCGCCUGUGACGAAGCGUGAGUGACGGUAAUGGGUAAAGAAGCACCGGCUAACUACGUG
rnacentral:rRNA from 1 species